rnacentral:misc_RNA from 1 species
GGAUGCUUACUCAGCGAUCC